rnacentral:rRNA from 1 species
UACGUAGGGCGCAAGCGUUAUCCGGAAUUAUUGGGCGUAAAGAGCUCGUAGGCGGCUUGUCGCGUCGACUGUGAAAACUUGGGGCUCAACUCCAAGCUUGCGGUCGAUACGGGCAUCACUGGAGUUCGGCAGGGGAGACUGGAAUUCCUGGUGUAGCGGUGAAAUGCGCAGAUAUCAGGAGGAACACCGGUGGCGAAGGCGAGUCUCUGGGCCGAUACUGACGCUGAGGAGCGAAAGCGUGGGGAGCGAACAGG